AUUGAACGCUGGCGGCAGGCUUAACACAUGCAAGUCGAACGGUAACAUAAAGAAGCUUGCUUCUUUGAUGACGAGUGGCGGACGGGUGAGUAAUGCUUGGGAAUCUAGCUUAUGGAGGGGGAUAACUACGGGAAACUGUAGCUAAUACCGCGUAAUAUCGAAAGAUUAAAGUGUGGGACCUUCGGGCCACAUGCCAUAGGAUGAGCCCAAGUGGGAUUAGGUAGUUGGUGAGGUAAAGGCUCACCAAGCCGACGAUCUCUAGCUGGUCUGAGAGGAUGACCAGCCACACUGGGACUGAGACACGGCCCAGACUCCUACGGGAGGCAGCAGUGGGGAAUAUUGCGCAAUGGGGGCAACCCUGACGCAGCCAUGCCGCGUGAAUGAAGAAGGCCUUCGGGUUGUAAAGUUCUUUCGGUAGCGAGGAAGGCAUUUAGUUUAAUAGACUAGGUGAUUAGACGUUAACUACAGAA
rnacentral:rRNA from 1 species